GACGAGCCUCACGAACGUUAUUCGGAAUUAUUGGGCGUAAAGAGCUCGUAGGCGGUUUGUCGCGUCGGCCGUGAAAUCUCCACGCUUAACGUGGAGCGUGCGGUCGAUACGGGCAGACUUGAGUUCGGUAGGGGAGACUGGAAUUCCUGGUGUAGCGGUGAAAUGCGCAGAUAUCAGGAGGAACACCGGUGGCGAAGGCGGGUCUCUGGGCCGAUACUGACGCUGAGGAGCGAAAGCGUGGGGAGCGAACAGG
rnacentral:rRNA from 1 species